rnacentral:antisense_RNA from 3 species
CAGAUUUGGUGGCUGUGCUCCUCCAAGCCAGUUACCUUGGUUCAAAGAGUUGCUGCUCUGAGAACCUUCGAAAAGCCGCCUUGCUGGGCGGUUUUUUCGU